rnacentral:rRNA from 1 species
GACGAACGCUGGCGGCGUGCUUAACACAUGCAAGUCGAACGGAAAGGCCCUGCUUUUGUGGGGUGCUCGAGUGGCGAACGGGUGAGUAACACGUGAGUAACCUGCCCUUGACUUUGGGAUAACUUCAGGAAACUGGGGCUAAUACCGGAUAGGAGCUCCUGCUGCAUGGUGGGGGUUGGAAAGUUUCGGCGGUUGGGGCUGGACUCGCGGCUUAUCAGCUUGUUGGUGGGGUAGUGGCUUACCAAGGCUUUGACGGGUAGCCGGCCUGAGAGGGUGACCGGCCACAUUGGGACUGAGAUACGGCCCAGACUCCUACGGGAGGCAGCAGUGGGGAAUAUUGCACAAUGGGCGGAAGCCUGAUGCAGCAACGCCGCGUGUGGGAUGACGGCCUUCGGGUUGUAAACCGCUUUCGCCUGUGACGAAGCGUGAGUGACGGUAAUGGGUAAAGAAGCACCGGCUAACUACGUG